rnacentral:rRNA from 1 species
GACGAACGCUGGCGGCGUGCUUAACACAUGCAAGUCGUACGGUAAGGCCCUUUCGGGGGUACACGAGUGGGGAACGGGUGAGUAACACGUGAGUAACCUGCCCACAACUUUGGGAUAACGCUAGGAAACUGGUGCUAAUACUGGAUAUGUGCUCCUGCUGCAUGGUGGGGGUUGGAAAGCUCCGGCGGUUGUGGAUGGACUCGCGGCCUAUCAGCUUGUUGGUGGGGUAGUGGCCUACCAAGGCGGCGACGGGUAGCCGGCCUGAGAGGGUGACCGGCCACAUUGGGACUGAGAUACGGCCCAGACUCCUACGGGAGGCAGCAGUGGGGAAUAUUGCACAAUGGGCGCAAGCCUGAUGCAGCAACGCCGCGUGCGGGAUGACGGCCUUCGGGUUGUAAACCGCUUUCAGCAGGGACGAAGCUUUUUGUGACGGUACCUGCAGAAGAAGCACCGGCUAACUACGUG